rnacentral:rRNA from 1 species
UUUUUCAAUAUUAUUUUUGCUGCACACGAGAAACAUGAUGCACGUGUGUGGUAAAUAUUGAACGCACAUGCUGAGUAAAUAUUAAACGCGGUUUCUAAUUUCUGACGUUUGCGGUGAGUUACAGCUUGUGGAUCGAUAUUGACGUGUGUAGGGGCGGCGUUAUGGUGCAAGAGGCAACGCUUUCUAAAAGCGUACGACGUCGUGUGAAAACUCGUGGCAACGUGGUGACGGAGAAGGAGGGGUGAAAACUGUGAUAAACGUGGGAACAGUUGUUUAGGUGGAUAUAAAGUUGUAUUGUGAAGUAUCGAGCGGUGGCAAGGAAUGUGCGGUAGAGUUUGUAGUGGAGCUGGAAGCUGCGAGCAUAAGGGACGAAGGGAUAAGAAACAUGUAGGAUGCUAUCAUACCAGCGCUAAAGCACCGGAUCCCAUCAGAACUCCAAAGUUAAGCGUGCUUGGGCGAGAGUAGUACUAGGAUGGGUGACCUCCUGGGAAGUCCUCGUGUUGCAUUCGC